rnacentral:rRNA from 1 species
AACGUAGGUGGCGAGCGUUAUCCGGAUUUACUGGGCGUAAAGGGCGCGUAGGCGGCUUGAUGUGUCAAAGGUGAAAUCCCUCGGCUCAACUGAGGAACUGCCUUUGAAACUGUCUGGCUUGAGGCCGGGAGAGGGUAGCGGAAUUCCCAGUGUAGCGGUGAAAUGCGUAGAUACUGGGAGGAACACCGGUGGCGAAGGCGGCUACCUGGACCGGUUCUGACGCUGAUGCGCGAAAGCGUGGGUAGCAAACAGG